rnacentral:lncRNA from 1 species
CUGAGAGCAAAGGAGCCAUACCAGGAAAGUUAAAGCGUAUUUUCAUCUUCAAGUCCAGGCUAAAAUAAGGUGAGAAAACAUAGAUACAAAGUAAGCUGAACUAUAAUUUCCCCAUGAAGAAAUAUUCACACGUCCUACUUCCUGUCCUAGCUCCAGAGCCUGAAAAGGUCUGAGGAAAAGAAUGAGCUGUGAGUGAAAGAUAGGAACAGAAAUCAUGAAAGAUCUGUUUGUCCAGGCCAGUGUUUCACCAUAAGAGAUCACUUUAAAAUAGAUGAAAUAAUUCUUUGCAAUUGCAAAUUUACCUUCCUUGCUUAACCACAUUCAUUGUUAACUGUAGGAGCUGAUAUCUGGUCCUUCCAUUGAUGACUUGUAGCUCUGUAUUCUAGCAAUAAACGCUCUUUAUGCUA